CUCUGCAAGCAAGCUUGAAAUGGGCUUCUGCCUGAGCGGCAGCCGGGGUGACCAAUAACUCUGUGUUUUGAGCCGGCGAGGCCCAAUGGUGCGGCAGGGAAGGCGGGCCCGAGCUGGGUUAGGGUGUCCUUGCAGGGUGUCUGAGCUAAACUUCACCAAAUAAUAGCUGUUUGUAUUUUGGCUGCUGCAGGAGCCAUUUUAGCCGUUUCUGGGCACUGGGAACUCGAAGAUACAUGAAUGCAUGUGGUCUCUGCCCUUGUGGAAUGCACAGUCUGUUAGAAGAGACAGAGAGGUGGUGCAUUGUACGUCCUGUUCAUAUUAGAAGACAUGUAAUGUUUGUCCCAUUUUGUAUGUACUAUGAUCGAUUGGUGGAUUUAUGUUGGCACAGCCCUUUUUUGUCAAAUUGUAUUUCCUCCAUUGACCAAUAAAAUCCAAGGAAUGACAUUUUGACAAUCUGCAGAUUUCCAGGUUUGUCCAUCUUUCACCUAAUGGUUUGAGUUUAACAUUUAUUGAUGAUUGUUGCCUAAAUCAUUUAUUUCACUAUUGCUACAUUUUAAGAAGACCAGACUUUCAUUUUGUUAAAAAAUGAAAUGAAACUUUUUGAUAAAUUUUUAAAUCUGAGGUUUCUGGAAAAUUCAUUUAUGCAAAGUACUUAUUUUCUGAUUAUACCUGGUAAAAUAGGUGUCAUUGUGAUAGAAAGAAUGUUUAAAAGUUGUGUUUAGCUGAAAUAAAUGCCCCUCUAUUUGUUUUUGCAUGAGUUGUCUUUAAAUGAUUUAUUUUAUGGGAGCAGAUUUUGAACAAGAAUCAUGUUUCUGGAUUGUUUUGCAUUUGUGAAAUGUUUUUAUCUACAUUAGGGCUUGCUCCUUUAACCAAGGAAAAUAAAGUUCUAAAGUUACUUUGAGGAUUUUGGAUCAUAAUAAAAAUUUAUCAUGAUCAUGAAUCCUUAUAGGUCAUUUAUUCCCACUGCUAUUGUCAGAUAUUUUUUCUGUUAUCCUAGAUGGCUGUCAUAUAAAUAUCAAUAGUAAUAUUUAACAGUAUAUAGUACUUUCUGUGUGGUAGACACUGUAGUUUGUAAUUUGCAUGUACUAAUUUAAUUUAUUUAAUCCUCAUAUGAUUAUCAUCCCUAUUUUAUACAUGAGGAAGCUGAGACAGGAGGUUAAGUGAUUUGCCCUGGUCAUACAGCUAAUAAAUAGCAAGCGCUAACAUUUGGACCCAGACAAUUGGGUUGUAUAAUCUGUACUCUAACCCAGGGAGAGAGUGGAUUAUGUGGAUUAUUACUAGAAAAAUACCUGCUAGCCUUGGAGGAUCAUCUGUAUAUUCAGCAUAUAAAUAAUCUACAUACAUAUUUUUUCUUUACUUGUGUGGAGAUACAUACAAACACACAUACUACAUGUCCACCUGAAGGAGCAAAUAUAUAGGUUUCCCCUUGAAAGGUCCUAGGAACUUAUUUGUUCCAAAUGCUAGUUCUUUCUCUCUGUUCUUAUGUUUGAAUUAAUGUUGUUUUGUAUUGGUCUGAUAACAGGUUAAUCUGUAAGAAAGAUUUCUUUCUACUGAUAAGAAAAUCAGUAGAUCCUCAAGAAUCUGAACAUUGUACGACAAUCUGAUGAUUUAAAUAACUGGAUGUCAUUGAUAGGGAUAGGAAUUAUGGAAAAAGAUAAGAAACCUUCCUCAGCUCAGGUAAACCUUCUUCAGCUCAGGUCUGGAGCUGAAUGAGACAGAUUUAUCUAGUGUUUUUGAGUUUGCUUGAAGCUUUAGGCAGUAUGUGCUAGUGGUAAAAUUUAACAGAAAAGACUUCAAAGGGGUUGAUUCUCUAGGUAUAAUGGUGGGGAUGGGCUUAAAGCCAACAUAUUUCUUAGUUUUACUCAUUUUGUUUAUAGAUUCAAAUAUCGAUGCUGUAUAUAAGUUUGGUAAUCAUUAUUGAAGGGCUGAUUUUCUCCACAUAUAGAGAGUUUCUUCAAGUACCUAACAUGUUUUGGUAAAGAUGUUCAUGCCUUCUGACAGAAACAGAUUUCCUGAAUCAUCUUCCUGACUUCUGGGCAUCCUUUCAUUUUUAGUAAGUUUUGCUUGAAGAAAAAAUGAAUUUAUUUUCCUUCUAUAUUAAAAAAGAAAGCUUUUUUAUUCACCUAGAGAAUGGAGAACUCAGUAAAAUAGGGAACAUAUUACUGUUUUUGCAGAAGGAUUCAUUUUCUUUUUAUCUGCGAAUGUAGUUUUAAGUACUGGGGUCUUAGAAUGAUAGGAUUUUAAGGCAUGGAUUCUUUAGGAAAGGAUCUUUAUAAUUUUUAAAAAAGCCUUUUUUUGGCUGGGCGCGGUGGCUCAUGCUUGUAA